CAGCUUGUGUGUCCGGCCUGUGCUUCGUUCAGAAGCUGCUGGGAGCCUUGAUAGCAAGAGGAUGGAUGGACAGCAGGAUGCAAAAGGGUAGAUGAGGGCUGGAACCCAAGGUGAUUGUACCGAAUGCAGUGUCUUCAGCAGAAUUGCACUGGUUGAACUUUUAGUGGAAUUUGAUAAAUGAAACUUUACUGCAGAUGUCCUGAUGUCGCGUUAAAGGGGUGUAGCUGAUUAACCGUUACGGGCCCAGUUGGAUUCAGAGUACUGAACCAGUCGGACAUUCACCAAAACUGGGGGUCCGUUCGGACAUUCACCAAAAACGUAAUAACCACCUGGGGGUCCGCUCAGACAUUCACCAAAAACGUAUUAACCACCUGGGGGUCCGUUCAGACAUUCACCAACAAUGCAUUAACCGUCUGGGGGUCUGGUUAGAUUCAGAACACUGAACUAUCACGGAUAACCACCCUUACCCUAGUUGCAUUAAUGAGAGCUAUCACAAUGCAAUCAAGUAUGGUUUAUUACAGCAACAGAUAAUCAGGUUCUUUUGGAUUGCCGGUGAUAGUGACUAUCUGCAAAAGCAAGCUAGUAUGCAUGAAAUACACAGGUGUUACAGGUNNNNNNNNNNGUUCUAGGUGUGGGUUCUAGGUGUGGGUUCUAGGUGUGGGUUCUAGGUGUGGGUUCUAGGUGUUACAGGUGUUACAGGUGUUAUAGGUGUUACAGGUGCGCAGCCUAGAAAUAAACGCGUUAAAAGGAUCAAAGACUCUAUAGAGAUUUAUAAGCAAAUAUUCAGAUCUCACCCAAAGGCGUCCUAAUGGGGGGGGAAGAGAGGCUCAGCCCGUCGACUGAUCCCAGGAGUCAGGAGGUCCUAAGGAUGUUGUAUGUCCUCGGGAUGGUAUCUCCCCUGACGAUGGUAUCUUCCCUAACAUCCCCUCUCUCUUGGGCCAAUUUAUAUUAUUUUCUAUCUUUUAGGUGGAGCUUGAGUGGCUCUAGUCAAGCAUAUCUUAGUUAUGAUUGGUGUAAAGUUUUCCCGUCUCCGUUUAAAGUAAUAGGCUCCGAGAAAUUCAGNGCGCAUGCUCAGUGAGGGGUGGUCGCACCUUGGAGGCGGGUAGCUUUUGGGAUGGAGGUGUGUUUUGGUAUUAUAAUGAUAUUAUAAUGAGCAAAAAGUACACUAGGGUACAGCAUUUGUCAAAACAUGACAGGUCUUUGGCUUAGGGUGGCAAAAAGUGCAGCUUUGUGCACAAGAACAAUCGAGGUCCCACCUGAUUACGGAGCCUAGCCGUGGUGUCUCCACUCCACUCCACGCUCCAUGGUGUUCCUUAGAGCUAGCACACCAAGUUUCCCCAGCGCGAUAGCAUCUAAGGUUGGGAGCCUAGCGAACGCUCAGAUAAUGCAGUUAUGCCCUACCCUGAAAGCCUCUUCAAUGCUGUACCUUUUCCUUAAAAGUGUGAAUGUUAGUUUUAUUUUCCUAGUUACUUCAGGCAUUUACACCACACCUGAGAGUUUAGCUUUUAAUAAUACCAAGGAAUUUUAAAAAGGAGCAUCGCUAUCCUACCUUAGAAAAAUUCUAUGUCAUGGUGCGGUUAGCCCUCUUUGCAAUUAAAGCUGUAUGACUAA
rnacentral:lncRNA from 1 species